AUUGUCAUAGUUUUUUCAUUCGAUCAAGAUUACAUUCGAUCAAAGUUUCAUUCAAUUAAACGCACGAAAUCAAUCGUGCAAAGUUAUCAUUUUCAUAUAUCGAACCUUAGCUACUAAGCUAUCGAACGUACAAUUUCUGGGAUCUAAGAGAGCGUUGUCGUAAACUCACUCGUUAUCGCAAUCGACAAUGACAUCUUUAUGCUAAACACUUAAUUCAAUUGUACCUCAAGAAAAUACAGAUGAUUCCCACUUUGGUUGAUUGGAAUGAAGGAAUUGUGGUUUCUAGUAACAUUAGACAUCAAUAUACUUUCGUAAUUCGUAUCGGAGGAUAUGGAGCCCAUGGAGGUGAACGAUAAAUUAUAGUAUCCGGCAAUGCGUUUGCUGAUACGAUUACCUUUUAAGUGAAAUUGUAUUUUAACAUGACCUACAAUAAUGUAAAAGUAAAAACUUUCUCACCAAGCUUAAUAACAGUAAGGUAACACUAACUAACAACCACUUCAUUUUGCAGUUUGAAAUUUCUGAAGGUUUAUUUGACGAUAAGCCCGACGAAUUUGCUAUUUUAUUCAGAAAAUAGUCUAUUUUAAUUUCUUGAAUACAUCAAUACUUUUGGAUUAAUUUCUUCCACAAGAUACACUUGGCAUAAACGUCUGCAUACGACGAGGGGUUAACAACUAGAAGAAAUGAUGGGACAUGAGGCAGGAUUUUAUUUUUACUUUUUAUAUGUAACUCGGCAUCGUAAUCUGCAAAAUUUGCAAACUUUAGAUGCAUCUGUUACAUAAAUCGGUUUAUGAGUCUCGGUGCAAAGUACUUUAUUGGGUAAUGUGUAUUAUGACACACGGCCUGCUCACACAUCUACUAGUGCUUAAUAAUAGUUAUUUACAUAACAAUCUUGUCAACAUCAUCUUGUCAAGAGGCACACGAAAACAAGACUUUUCAUCGUUUUAUACCUAGUUAUGUAAUGCUUUUGAAACUUAAACCGAUUUUCUUGUUUUCACGAGGUGUGUAAAUGCCACUUUCGACCCUAGAGAGACCAAAAAAAUUGUAUUCGUACCACAGACGAAAAGUCUUUUUUAGCAUGUGAACAUGUGCAUCCAGAACGAGCCGAAGGCGAAAGGUACGAAAUGUACUAUUGCACUCGAUGUCAUAAAUAACCAUUUAUUUUUACACUGAGUUCUAUGUUGUGUACAGUACAUCAAUAAACGAAGUCUAUACGAUUUAAAAUAUUCCGUCCACAACAGAUACGUAUACAACUUUUCAUGCUGAGGGCCCAAGUUAAGAGCAAAAUUCCGAAAUUUAUUCUAUGAAUUGAACAAGACGCAAUGAUUAAAUGAAAAUUUGUUAGAUAGAGUCUCAUUGACUUCCUGUUGAAUGAAUCAAUUAAGUCCAUACCACUAUCACGACAGAGUAAAAUAAACCAAGCAGGAGCGGUAAAAUACAGGAGGCUACUAGAUUAUUCAGGUCUCUUGUCAAAUCAGCGCGCCUGGUUAAUUUUACUCUGUUGUGCCGGUAUACGAUACCGUAUACCACUUAAAUCGAUAAAGCAAAAUUAUCCUUGAAAGAACAUCUGCAUUCAUUUGCGGGUGUGGACUAUGAACAACUAAGCCAGGUAUUUUGUUAACAAAUUUUCCUAAGUUUGCGUCAAUUCGUUGUUGAUUUAGUUUGUCGGUAUUUACUCUUCAGAAUUUUACGUCUGUUUGAAUUGAUGAAUUCUGUAAAACGCCAAAAGCUUCCAUAUCCAAGCAAGUGUUGAAUUUUCAAUUAGUUUGAACAGUUAUGGAAAAUUCAUUAAAUUUUCAAUAUAAAUACGACGCAUUUGCCUGAACAUUUGUCAUUCGACUUCAAUCAUUCGUCAAAAUGAAUCCUAAAACGUGUUUCAAAGUUGUUGUAAUAUUCGUGUUGCUGGGUCUCGUAUCAGCUAGAAGCAAAGUAGGUGGUCUAGGUCAACGGCCCAGAUGUAGAAAAGCUAUCAACAUAAUCGACUUAGUCGAUGAUGUUGUUAAUCCAAUACUGGAAGAUCCAUGCGAAAUUGUAACUUGUCUAUUGAAUUUUACAUGUCAACGAACUUGCAUUUCUCCGACUUUAACAACAGUCCUUGGAUUGGUAGCUGAUUUGAUAAAUACAGCCGUAUGUAAUGAUGGACUAGUGCCAUGUCCCGAUAACCUGGCAAUCGAAAAAUGUUUAAAUCCGGACGGACGAAAAGCGCUCCUAGGAUUGUAGACUUUCAAAUAAAAACAUAAUUUUUGUAAACGGAAACUCAAA